AGCGAACGCUGGCGGCAGGCCUAACACAUGCAAGUCGAACGAAGUCUUCGGACUUAGUGGCGGACGGGCGAGUAACACGUGGGAACGUACCUUUAGGUUCGGAAUAACUCAGGGAAACUUGUGCUAAUACCGAAUGUGCCCUUCGGGGGAAAGAUUUAUCGCCUUUAGAGCGGCCCGCGUCUGAUUAGCUAGUUGGUGAGGUAAAGGCUCACCAAGGCGACGAUCAGUAGCUGGUCUGAGAGGAUGAUCAGCCACAUUGGGACUGAGACACGGCCCAAACUCCUACGGGAGGCAGCAGUGGCGAAUCUUGCGCAAUGGGCGAAAGCCUGACGCAGCCAUGCCGCGUGAAUGAUGAAGGUCUUAGGAUUGUAAAAUCCUUUCACCGGGGACGAUAAUGACGGUACCCGGAGAAGAAGCCCCGGCUAACUUCGUGCCAGCCGCCGCCGUAACAC
rnacentral:rRNA from 1 species